AUUUGUUAACUGGCCCCAAGGGUUUUAUUCGUUUUUCCCCAUCCUUGAUUCCUUGGGGUGCUUCGAACGCAGAGCAGCCUCCUCUUUCUCACUCGCUGGUCGGAGCCAAGUUUUGCUACUCCCCUGAUUUAUACGUCUCUCUCUUUCUCUCUCUACUAGUUGUUGAAAUGACGGAGGCUUUGUAGCUCAAGGCGGUGGUGGUGGCGACAGUAACGAUCAGCCAAACCAGCCUCACAGUGACGUGAAGCUCUUCAACCGAUGGUCCUUCGAUGAUGUUCAGAUCACUGACAUUCUGUAACGGAUUACAUUGCUGUGAGUGCUGCAAAGCAUGCAACCUAUGUUCCUCACACUGCUGGAAGGUACUCAAUCAAGCGGUUUAGGAAGGCCCAGUGCCCGAUUGUGGAAAGGCUGACCAACUCUUUGAUGAUGCACGAUCGAAGCAAUGGGAAGAAGCUGAUGGCUGCUCGCAUUGUUAAGCAUGCUAUGGAAAUCAUCCAUUUACUCACUCACCUAGAUCCGAUUCAAGUCAUUGUUGAUGCUGUGAUCAACAGGGCAAGAGUUGAAGUUGUGCCCCGUGACAGUGAUGGAUUGGGGGAGUUGUAAGAAAGAUGCUAGUUACUGGUGCGGUCUGGACAUGGGAGCACAGGCAAUACCACAGCACAGGAAUGCAAAUGCCAUCCUCGUCCUCCAAAUCAAGACAUCUGCGAAUGCCUCACUUUCUGUGGCUUUCGCUACCCACCUUCAGCUUCACCCUCUCCCUUCACCGGUGAAAUGAAACCAUAAUUGAUGUUCGAAGAAACAAAUUUAGUAAAUUAAUUACAAUGCGCCUCAACAAAAAAGAUUGACAAUGAUUCAGGCUUAUUUGUACUUUUUAUCACCUGGGUUUCUAUUGUUUUUCUCUAACAACUUCAACAUAUGCUGAGAAGGUUGAAAGAA